rnacentral:rRNA from 1 species
GGGAAUCUGCCCUUGGGUUCGGAAUAACUCAGAGAAAUUUGAGCUAAUACCGGAUGAUGACGAAAGUCCAAAGAUUUAUCGCCCAGGGAUGAGCCCGCGUAAGAUUAGCUUGUUGGUGGGGUAAUGGCCUACCAAGGCGACGAUCUUUAGCUGGUCUGAGAGGAUGAUCAGCCACACUGGGACUGAGACACGGCCCAGACUCCUACGGGAGGCAGCAGUGGGGAAUAUUGGACAAUGGGCGCAAGCCUGAUCCAGCAAUGCCGCGUGAGUGAUGAAGGCCUUAGGGUUGUAAAGCUCUUUUACCAGGGAUGAUAAUGACAGUACCUGGAGAAUAAGCUCCGGCUAACUCCGUGCCAGCAGCCGCGGUAAUACGGAGGGAGCUAGCGUUGUUCGGAAUCACUGGGCGUAAAGCGUGCGUAGGCGGUGACUCAAGUCAGAGGUGAAAGCCUGGAGCUCAACUCCAGAACUGCCUUUGAAACUAGGUCGCUAGAACAUCGGAGAGGUGA